GACGAACGCUGGCGGCGUGCUUAACACAUGCAAGUCGAACGGAAAGGCCCUGCUUUUGUGGGGUGCUCGAGUGGCGAACGGGUGAGUAACACGUGAGUAACCUGCCCUUGACUUUGGGAUAACUUCAGGAAACUGGGGCUAAUACCGGAUAGGAGCUCCUGCUGCAUGGUGGGGGUUGGAAAGUUUCGGCGGUUGGGGAUGGACUCGCGGCUUAUCAGCUUGUUGGUGGGGUAGUGGCUUACCAAGGCUUUGACGGGUAGCCGGCCUGAGAGGGUGACCGGCCACAUGGGGACUGAGAUACGGCCCAGACUCCUACGGUAGGCAGCAGGGGGGAAUAUUGCACAAUGGGCGGAAGCCUGAUGCAGCAACGCCGCGUGCGGGAUGACGGCCUUCGGGUUGUAAACCGCCUUCGCCUGUGACGAAGCGUGAGUGACGGUAAUGGGUAAAGAAGCACCGGCUAACUACGUG
rnacentral:rRNA from 1 species